GAGUUUGAUCUUGGCUCAGAUUGAACGCUGGCGGCAUGCCUUACACAUGCAAGUCGAACGGCAGCAUGAUCUAGCUCGCUAGAUUGAUGGCGAGUGGCGAACGGGUGAGUAAUACAUCGGAACGUGCCCUGUAGUGGGGGAUAACUAGUCGAAAGAUUAGCUAAUACCGCAUACGACCUGAGGGUGAAAGUGGGGGACCGCAAGGCCUCAUGCUAUAGGAGCGGCCGAUGUCUGAUUAGCUAGUUGGUGGGGUAAAGGCCCACCAAGGCGACGAUCAGUAGCUGGUCUGAGAGGACGAUCAGCCACACUGGGACUGAGACACGGCCCAGACUCCUACGGGGGGCAGCAGUGGGGAAUUUUGGACAAUGGGCGAAAGCCUGAUCCAGCAAUGCCGCGUGUGUGAAGAAGGCCUUCGGUUGUAAG
rnacentral:rRNA from 1 species